CGUGUAGGCGGUUGGGCAAGUCAGAUGUGAAAGCCUUCCGUUCAACGGAAGAAGGGCAUUUGAAACUACCCGGCUGGAGUACGGGAGAGGAGAGUGGAAUUCCCGGUGUAGAGGUGAAAUUCGUAGAUAUCGGGAGGAACACCAGUGGCGAAGGCGGCUCUCUGGUCCGAUACUGACGCUGAGACGCGAAAGCGUGGGGAGCAAACAGGAUUAGAUACCCUGGUAGUCCACGCCGUAAACGAUGGGCACUAGGUGUAGGAGGUAUUGACCCCUUCUGUGCCGAAGCUAACGCAUUAAGUGCCCCGCCUGGGGAGUACGGCCGCAAGGCUAAA
rnacentral:rRNA from 1 species